AUGCUCAUGAAGGACUACUUCGCCGAGGUACCGACAUAUCCGCCUCACCAAUUUCAUAGGCGAUACCAAAUGCGUAGGCCUCUUUUCGUGCACAUCGUUGAAGCUUGCAAGAAGAAUUGCUGCUUUUUCACUCAGCGUAGGAAUGUCAUCAGUUUGAUUGGCUUUAGUGCAUAUAAAAAAAUAUCAGCGACAAUUAGAGUGAUGGCAUAUGGUGUUCCCGCCGUCUACACGGAUGGAAAUGAACGAAGAAAGAGGAUGGCUGGGCAUGCUAGGUAG
rnacentral:rRNA from 1 species